AGCGGGGUGUGAGCGGGAGAGGUGCGGAGAGGAGUGCGGAGCCGGUGAGCUCGGAGCCGCCCUUCGAGCGUGGAACGCGUGGUUCUCCGCCGGAAAGUUUCUCCGAGGUGUGAGAGAGCCGCCACCUGUGCUCCGUCGGUCAGCAGCACUGUUUCUGGUCAAGUAAACUACUGAAAAACUACAUAAACACCAUAAAUCAGUCCUUCUGACCAACCACAGAACACCAGCAGCUGCUGAAGUCCUGGUGCAUAUAAACCUGUGGUGAAGUCAGCUUUCCACACUUCUGCAUACAAUUCUGAAGUGGAGCAUUUUAAGGAACCAAAAGAGACCACUCCUGACACUGGAACUUAGCAGUUGGAGUAAUAGAGCUGCUGCAUGUCUGAGGAAUGAAUCUUGGUUCAAACAGUGUCUGUAGCAGAACUGAGACCAGAGUUCUUGAUCUUCACUCUUCAGACUCUUGCUCCGUAUGCUCAACUGUUUUGUACACUACUUUGUUUGGGUCACCACUACUUGAGAAUAUAAUAUGGGAGAUUUUUCUGCUUCAAGAGUGCAUUUUUCUGCAUACGAUUUUUCUGCACAUGGCUACACCACUUAUUUCAUACUGUGAUGCUCCUGAUGGAGGAAGAUGGAGAUGGCACUGGAUUCUGUGACAGAAGGAAAGAAUGCAGGAAAUAACUCCCCAGUUCACUUGAUUUUUUACCUGAUGAUUUACAAGAAGCCCUUGAAAGUCCUGGCUAAACGCAGUGUUACAAGUAACUUCUAGACAUGGGCUGCAACCAUACUACUGUAGUCUGAAGAGAAACCAGAGGGUGACAGGCAUUAGGAGCACUGCUGUGUGUAUCUCACAUAGGGCAACCAAGACAUUACGACUUCAUGAAGACCCUGCAGAGCACACCUGCUUCAGAAGCAGAAAGUGACUAUAUUUGAAGGCUGCUUCAACUUUCUAAAGAAGCCUUCUGAAAGUGUCCUCCUACUUCUGUUGGAACUUGCCUUCUGUUUAGUCACCGUUUGAAGCCUAAUAUCUUCUACAAGCUAGAACAUGAAUUUGCAAAAAGAAAACACUUCUGUACUCCCACUUAGAUGUCUCCCACAGUGUUUUUCUUUUCUCAUGAAAAUUCUCUCUUCUGCUACCAAUGGAAAAUUACCUUCGCUGUCUCAAUUGAGCCCUGGAUGCAUCCCACACACAUCUUGCCUCUUUGAAGAUUAUCAGAAAGACAGGAAGGUUUCCUUCCCACUUUCUGGGAUUCAUCUGUGAUCCCACUGGUGACUGGAAGAGUGAAGUGUUCCCAUCUCCAUCUGCAGAACCGAGACUACAGCAACAAAUCUGAACUCAUACAAAUAUUCCUGUGGAUGUCUUACAGCAUGGAAACGUUUUCCCACUAUCUACAGAGCAAAUAAAGUUUAUUCC
rnacentral:lncRNA from 7 species